ACGGAGGGUGCGAGCGUUAAUCGGAAUUACUGGGCGUAAAGCGCACGUAGGAGGCUGGAUCAGUCAGAUGUGAAAUCCCUGGGCUCAACCUGGGAACUGCAUUUGAUACUGUCCGGCUAGAGUCUGGCAGAGGAAAGCGGAAUUCCGGGUGUAGCGGUGGAAUGCGUAGAUAUCCGGAAGAACACCAGUGGCGAAGGCGGCUUUCUGGGCCAAGACUGACUCUGAGGUGCGAAAGCGUGGGGAGCGAACAGG
rnacentral:rRNA from 1 species